UGUGUGUGUGUGUGAAUUGGCACUACUUACUGUAUCUCCCGAUAGGCCUCUUCUAUGACCGCUCUUCGCAUCCCAUCACCCCUCCUGUCCCCCCAAUAGCCAUAGCACUCAACUACUUUAUCAAUAGUACUCUGCCCUCGGCCUUGGCUGUUAUAUAAAGAGACUGGGACACCGUGUACCUUCCCAUUCUGAUUCAGCCCAAAGUUCACCAGCCCACAGAACCAACAUGCCUGCAGACUUCAAUGGCAAAUGGGAGUUGGAGAGCAGUGAGAACUUUGAGGAUUACAUGAAAGCACUGAACAUUGACUUUGCCACACGCAAAAUCGCAGUGCAGCUGGCCCAGACCAAAGUGAUCAUCCAGGAUGGAGACAAGUUUGAAGCCAAGACGCUGAGCACCUUCAGGAACUAUGAGCAGAUGUUCACUGUGGGGGUGGAGUAUGUGGAGCACACCAAAGGACUGGACAACAGGGUGGUCAAGGUUGGACACGUGGGCUGUGUUCGAAUACUUAUACAACGCGUCCUUCUUGCUCUCUUUUUGGGAUGUACAUGUAAUCACUGCUGAUCGCACGUGAUUAGCUAGGUGCUCUUGUGGUGUGGGAGGGGGACAAACUAGUGUGUACCCAGAAAGGGGAAAAGGACAACCGUGGGUGGAAGCACUGGAUUGAAGGAGACAAACUGUACCUGUUCCAGUCUACUUAAGGGGUGGCUCCAAUGCACCAAUGCGAUAGCAGGUCUACUUAGUUCAUUCUCCAUGCACCAACCAGAAAAAAGGAGCCUAUGAAAUCUCUCACUUUCUCUAUCAUCUCUGGUAGCAUAUCAAUGGUCCUUUCCUUAAUUUGCACUGAUCGACCAGGACUAACCUUUUUCCUCAAAGGGAAUGAGAUAAGGAACUGACGUGUGAGGACAAAGUCUGCAGGCAGGUGUUUAAGAGAAAAGAAUAGAAAGACAAUAUCUGGAUAUCAGUUGCUGGAUUCCUCCACUUUCUCAUACCUUGUGUCAAUAUAGUAAACUCCUGCUGUUACCAUUUAAACUUGUCAUACGGUUUCAAACUCACAAGCAAAUCUGAAUAAAGCAUUGUAUAUUGUUCACUCUU